rnacentral:piRNA from 1 species
UGCUCCUCUUCAAUUCAAAAU